AGAGAGAGAGGAGAAAGAGGAGAUAAAGACUGAUGAGAGAAAGAGAUGAUGAGAAACAGACAGAGAGAGAGAGAGAGAGAGACAGAGAGGAGAUAAAGAGUGAUGAGAGAAAUGGAGAGAGAGAGGACAUGGAAAACAGAUGCUCCUUCACUCAACCGACAUCUCCCUCUUAUAAGAUGCGAGAUCUGUGUUGUACAAACCCUACCAAUUUCAUAGUAUCACAGAAUGACAAAGUUGGAAGGGGACUUGGAGAGAACCAGUUCAACCCCCCCAUUUCAUCCAUUCCCACUCGACUACUCAGGUAGACCUUGACUUACAACGACCAUUGGGGAUCAGAAUUUCCAUCGCUAAGCAAAGCGAAUAUCCAAAAUGACUGGUGUCCGAUUUUACAGGCUUGUUUUUGGUCUUGUUUGUGCAGUUGUGAAUGUGGAACCAUAAAGACCUUCCGUGAACCCAGCUUCUCCAGUUGACCUCUCCAGUCGGAAGCCGGCUGGAAAUGGGGCAAAAAGCAAUCGGCGGGCUGGUGCGCACACACCGGCCUAGGAGACAAAUGCCUCGAUCUUCCA